rnacentral:rRNA from 1 species
GACGAACGCUGGCGGCGUGCCUAAUACAUGCAAGUCGAACGCAGUGGGGACGGGUGAGUAACACGUGGGUAACCUCCCAUCAGAGGGGAUAACACUUGGAAACAGGUGCUAAACCGAUACUGAUGGAUGAACCCGCGGUGCAUUAGCUAGUUGUUGAGGUAACGGCUCACCAAGGCCACAAUCAAUAGCCGACCGGGAGGGGUGUUCGCCCACACGGGGACUGAGAAACGGCCCAGACUCCUACGGGAGGAAGCGGGAGGGAAUCUUCGGCAAUGGACGAAAGUCUGACCGAGCACCGCCGCGUGAGUGAAGAAGGUUUUCGGAUCGUAAAACUCUGUUGUUAGAGAAGCGGUAUCUAACCAGAAAGCCACGGCUAACUACGUGCCAGCAGCCGCGGUAAUUC